rnacentral:rRNA from 1 species
AAUGGGAUUCCCUCAGUAACGGCGAGUGAAGUGGGAUGAGCUCAGCACCGAAUCCGGCUGUCGAAAGGCGGUCGUGACAUGUGGUGUUUGGGAGGGCUCUGUCCGUGUCCGGUGUCGGUCCAAGUCUUCUGGAAAGAAGUUCCGCGGAGGGUGACAGGCCCGUGCGACCGAUUGCCGCGUUCGCGGACGAGUCCUCCUUCGAGUCGGGUUGUUCGCUAAUGCAGCCCCAAGCAGGUGGUAAGCUCCAUCUAAAGCUAAAUAUAACCACGAGCCCGAUAGUCAACAAGUACAGUGAUGGAAAGUUGAAAAGUACUCUGAAGAGAGAGUCAAAUAGCCCGUGAAGCUGCCAGUAUGGGAUUAAGCGCACGUAUGACGCGUGUCGUCGGCCAAAUAGGCGACUGUUGGGUGUGCACACUGCGUGUGACUGGUUGACGCUCGUCNGCUGACGCGUGGUGUUUGGCGUGCCUCGGCAGAACGCUUCCCUUUGGUCGACAUGGACAGGUCGAGGCUUCGUUGUCCAUGGUCUUAUUGCCGGCCGGUAAUUCGCAGAGCCGUGUCGAGCUGUGGCAAUCAGCGACCUCACGGUCGUGCCGCGGUGCUCCGUCGACUAUGCGCUCUACUGUAGCGACGACGGUCGGCCUGGUCUACGAUGCAAUAUGCCGGCCGAUGGCGAACGACCGGGCGACGGCCAGCGCAAAUUCGAARCGUCUAACGUUUCGGCUCGGCCUUUGCGUCGUUAUGUGCGGCCCGUCUUGAAACACGGACCAAGGAGUCUAACAUGUGAGCGAGCGAUUGAGAUUGUCUAAUCUCAAACGCGCAAUGAAAGUAAAGUGUCGUCUGACGGCACGAGCGGAGAUCCACCGUCACUUGUGGCGUGCGGCGCAUCCGCGGGCCGCGCCAUCGGCUGGCUUGCUCUCUUCACUGCUGAGCACUGCUGAGGCGCGGACCUAGAGCCCACACGUUGGGACCCGAAAGAUGGUGAACUAUGCCUGGCCAGGAUGAAGCCAGAGGAAACUCUGGUGGAGGUCCGCCGCGAUUCUGACGUGCAAAUCGAUCGUCUGAGCUGGGUAUAGGGGCGAAAG